GAUGUGAACUAUGACCAUGCCAUCGUCCCAAGUCUGGCCGUGAGCAUCAGGUGAAUGGCCCCUGCUUUCAAGAAUGACUCCCCUGGAUACGAUAGGAGAUAUUUCCCUUAAUAUUUUGUUGUCUUGUUCUCAUUUAUCUGAUUCAUCUGAUUCUGAUUCAUUGUUGAGUGACAGAGGUUUCAUUGUUGUUUGGUUGUAGAUUUGUUGAUAAAAAAGACCACGGAUAUUAUCUU